AGUCCCAGAGCUCGAGAGGGCCACGUGACCGUCCCGGGACCAGUCACGUGAGGCGCAGAUCCUGGGUGGGAGGGGGUGGUAGAGGGGUCCAGAGUAGCAGUAAAGGAGGAAGAUGGCGGGAUGCAGGGGGUCUCUGUGCUGCUGUUGCAGGUGGUGCUGCUGCUGCGGUGAGCGUGAGACCCGCACCCCCGAGGAGCUGACCAUCCUUGGAGAAACACAGGAGGAGGAGGAUGAGAUUCUUCCAAGGAAAGACUAUGAGAGUUUGGAUUAUGAUCGCUGUAUCAAUGACCCUUACCUGGAAGUUUUGGAGACCAUGGAUAAUAAGAAAGGUCGAAGGUAUGAGGCGGUGAAGUGGAUGGUGGUGUUUGCCAUUGGAGUCUGCACUGGCCUGGUGGGUCUCUUUGUGGACUUUUUUGUGCGACUCUUCACCCAACUCAAGUUCGGAGUGGUACAGUCAUCGGUGGAGGAGUGUAGCCAGAAAGGCUGCCUCGCUCUCUCUCUCCUUGAACUCCUGGGUUUUAACCUCACCUUUGUCUUCCUGGCAAGCCUCCUUGUUCUCAUUGAGCCCGUGGCAGCAGGUUCUGGGAUACCCGAGGUCAAAUGCUAUCUGAAUGGUGUGAAGGUGCCAGGAAUCGUCCGUCUACGGACCCUGCUCUGCAAGGUCCUUGGAGUGCUGUUCAGUGUGGCCGGAGGGCUCUUUGUGGGGAAGGAAGGCCCCAUGAUCCACAGUGGUUCAGUGGUAGGAGCUGGCCUCCCUCAGUUUCAGAGCAUCUCCUUAAGGAAGAUCCAGUUUAACUUCCCCUAUUUCCGUAGCGACAGAGACAAGAGAGACUUUGUAUCAGCAGGAGCGGCUGCUGGAGUUGCUGCAGCUUUCGGGGCCCCAAUCGGGGGUACCUUGUUCAGUCUAGAGGAGGGUUCGUCCUUCUGGAACCAAGGGCUCACAUGGAAAGUGCUCUUUUGUUCCAUGUCUGCCACCUUCACCCUCAACUUCUUCCGUUCUGGGAUUCAGUUUGGAAGCUGGGGUUCCUUCCAGCUCCCUGGAUUGCUGAACUUUGGCGAGUUUAAGUGCUCUGACUCUGAUAAAAAAUGUCAUCUCUGGACAGCUAUGGAUUUGGGUUUCUUCGUCGUGAUGGGGGUCAUUGGGGGCCUCCUGGGAGCCACAUUCAACUGUCUGAACAAGAGGCUUGCAAAGUACCGUAUGCGAAACGUGCACCCGAAACCUAAGCUCGUCAGAGUCUUGGAGAGCCUCCUGGUGUCUCUGGUAACCACCGUGGUGGUGUUUGUGGCCUCGAUGGUGUUGGGAGAAUGCCGACAGAUGUCCUCCUCGAGUCAAAUCGGUAAUGACUCAUUCCAGCUCCAGGUCACAGAAGAUGUGAAUUCAAGUAUCAAGACAUUUUUUUGUCCCAAUGAUACCUACAAUGACAUGGCCACACUCUUCUUCAACCCUCAGGAGUCUGCCAUCCUCCAGCUCUUCCACCAGGACGGCACUUUCAGCCCCGUCACUCUGGCCUUGUUCUUCAUUCUCUAUUUCUUGCUUGCAUGUUGGACUUACGGCGUUUCUGUUCCAAGUGGCCUUUUUGUGCCUUCUCUACUGUGUGGAGCUGCUUUUGGACGUUUAGUUGCCAAUGUCCUAAAAAGCUACAUUGGAUUGGGCCACAUCUAUUCGGGGACCUUUGCCCUGAUUGGUGCAGCGGCUUUCUUGGGCGGGGUGGUCCGCAUGACCAUCAGCCUCACGGUCAUCCUGAUUGAGUCCACGAAUGAGAUCACCUACGGGCUUCCCAUCAUGGUCACACUGAUGGUGGCCAAAUGGACAGGGGACUUUUUCAAUAAGGGCAUUUAUGAUAUCCACGUGGGCCUGCGAGGCGUGCCGCUUUUGGAAUGGGAGACAGAGGUGGAAAUGGACAAGCUGAGAGCCAGCGACAUCAUGGAGCCCAACCUGACCUACGUCUACCCGCACACCCGCAUCCAGUCUCUGGUGAGCAUCCUGCGCACCACGGUCCACCACGCCUUCCCGGUGGUCACAGAGAACCGCGGCAACGAGAAGGAGUUCAUGAAGGGCAACCAGCUCAUCAGCAACAAUAUCAAGUUCAAGAAAUCCAGCAUCCUCACCCGGGCCGGCGAGCAGCGCAAACGGAGCCAGUCCAUGAAGUCCUACCCCUCCAGCGAGCUGCGGAACAUGUGUGAUGAGCACAUCGCCUCUGAGGAGCCGGCCGAGAAGGAGGACCUCCUGCAGCAGAUGCUGGAGAGGAGUCCCCGAGUGAAGACUGGACCAUGGAGGAGCGCUUCCGCCCUCUGACCUUCCACGGCCUGAUCCUUCGGUCACAGCUUGUCACCCUGCUUGUCCGAGGAGUUUGUUACUCUGAAAGCCAGUCGAGCGCCAGCCAGCCGCGCCUCUCCUACGCCGAGAUGGCCGAGGACUACCCGCGGUACCCUGACAUCCACGACCUGGAUCUGACGCUGCUCAACCCGCGCAUGAUCGUGGAUGUCACCCCAUACAUGAACCCUUCGCCUUUCACCGUCUCACCCAACACCCACGUCUCCCAAGUCUUCAACCUGUUCAGAACGAUGGGCCUGCGCCACCUGCCCGUGGUGAAUGCCGUGGGAGAGAUCGUCGGGAUCGUCACACGGCACAACCUGACCUCUGAAUUUCUGCAGGCCCGGCUGAGGCAGCACUACCAGACCAUCUGACGGCCCAGCCCGCCCUCUCCCGGGGCUGCCUGGGGAGGCAGCUUAUGCUCGCUCCGGCUGGCACAACUGGCUGGGGCUGUUCCGGGGCAUGGAAGAUUCCCAGUCACCCACUCAGAAAGCCUGGAGUCAUCGGAUACCUUGCUGGUCAGAGGUCCUGGGGGUGGUUUUGAACCGUCAGAGCUUGGACUUAGAUUCUGACUUCCCCAGCAAGGAUCUUCCCACUUCCUGCUCCCCGUGUUCCCACCCUCCAGUGUUGGCACAGGCCCACCCCUGGCCCCACCAGAGCCAGAAGCAGAGGUGGAAUUAGGCGGGCCCCGGGCUGCACUCCGAGCCGUGUUCCUGGCCGUCUUCGCUACUUUCCUAGAGAACCUGGCUGUUGCCUUAAAUGUGUGAGAGGGACUUGGCCAAGGCAAAAGCUGGGGAGACGCCAGUGACAACAUUCAGUUCAUGACUAGAUUUAGGAAUUGGGCACUGAGAAAAUUCUCCGUAUUUUAGAGAGACCUUCCCUUGUUUGGGACUCCGAACACGGCAUCCUCGCUGGUUUGUUUUAAGGGAAACACUGUACUUACUCCUGGGUGUGGGCAGAGGCUCUGGUCUUGCCCCUGUGGUUUGACUUUCCUUAGAACCACCACCCACCAGAAAUACAAAGCAUUAAAAUCACACUAAUAACCCCCGAUGGUCAAUCUGAUAAUAGGAUCAGAUUUACAUCUACCCUAGUUCUUAACAUUUCAGCUUUCUCUCCAUCUGCAGGUUAUUCCCAGUCUCCCAGUAACACGUUGCUACCCAGACCCUUUUCAUUUCCUUAAGUUUUGAUCUCCGUCUUCCUGCUGAAGCAGGCAGAGCUCAGAGGAUCUUGGCAUCACCCACCAAAGUUAGCUGAAAGCAGGGCACUCCUAGGUAAAGCAGCUUCACUGAACUCUGGGGAAUGGUGCCAUUUUUUUCCAAGGUAGAAAGGAAGCACUUCUGAGCCAGUGGCCACUGAAAGGUGUGUGCUAUGAUAAAGCAGAUGGCCUACUCGAGGAAGAGGGUGUCCGCCCUUCACAAACACCUCUUUCUCCCCUGCACUAGCCGUCCCACGCUUACAUACAGAGGCCCUUCAGGAGGGCCUCCGCGCCGCAGGGAGGGUGCGUGGCGAGGAUGCUUCCUGCCAGCACACGCCUGAAGGUUUCGCGUGAAGCGUGGGAACUACCCCAUUGUUCAGUGACAUCAUUCUUCUCCAGGCUGGCUGGCCCCCUCUGACUAGGCCCCCAAAGUGAGCAUCUGGGCAUCGGGUAUUUGCACUUAUCUUCCCCCACCUUCUCCAUGGCAUCUCCGUUCCAGCAGGCAUCCCUGGGGCAGGCGUGCUUUGGCUCAAGAUGGCCUUCAUUUACGUUUAGCUUUUUUCAAAACCAUGGAGGUUGCCCACGGGCCUCGGCACCCGGCCCUGGCAGCACAGCUCUCUCAGGCCCAGCCCUGGGCGACCUCCUUGGCCAAGGCUGCCUUUCACCCUGGGGUGGGCAUCAGUCCUGGCUCUGCCGGUCCAGAUCUUGCACUCAGCACACUCUAGGGAAUAAUUCCACUCCAGAGACAGGGCUGCUUCGAGGUCUUUCUCCAGCUGACAGUGGCCCCUCCAUUUUCCCCAUUUUCUUACCACUCCGACCAAAAUUGCUUUGACUUCUAAAUGUUUCUGCUUCCCAGAAUGCACCUGGCUUGUGAAACGGGGAUGAUACUCCCAGGAAAUAGUGCAGGACAUCACAAGGACCCAAAAGGCAAUUCUUACUUAAAUGUGACUGUUUGGCCAGCUGCUGCUGUGUUUUAUGGCAGUGUUCAGAGCUUGAUCACAUUAUUUCCUCCUUUUAUUAAGAAGGAAGCCAAUUGUCCAAGUCAGGAGAAUGGUGUGAUCACCUGUCACAGACACUUCAUCCCCUCUCCCUGCCCCUUCCCAGAGCUGGCAGAGCUAACGCCCUGCAGGAGGACCCCGGCCUCUCGAGGGCUGGAUCAGCAGCUGCCUGCCUCGAGGCUGCCCUGGUGAAUGUUGCUGGAAUUCAUCCCUCGUGCACAUCCUGUUGUGUUUAAGUCACCAGAUAUUUUGUUCCCAUCAGUUUAGCCCAGAGAUAGACAGUAGAAUGCGAAUACCUCCCUCCCGUAAACUGACUGGACGGCUGCCAAGGAGGCCCCAAACCCAGCCCCAUGCAGAGGCACGUGGUUUCCUGUUCUCUCUGCAUCUGCCCUUUCCAGAUAAGCCCAAAGACAACAACUUCUCCACUCGUGACAAAUCAACUGUGAGCCUCGCUCCUUCCAUUUCUGUCCAUUAGAAACCAGCCUUUUCAGCACCUCACCCAUGAGCCGCCCCACCACCCAGCGAUCAGGCGCCUCAGUAAGGCAGAUCCGCGGAUGGGGAGCCUGCGGGUGGCCAGAGGUGGUGUUUGUGUUUGUCUCCAGCUCGGUGUUCCAUGGCUUCUAGGCGAGGUGAUCAGGGAGUGGGGCCAGUGGGUCCCCGGCCCUGGCUGUGGGACCUUGUGCUGAGGGAUGAUUUGCUGCUGACCUUGAUUAACUUAACAGUUCCCAGCUGGAAGGGACACUUUCUGGACCCAGUCCACUGUAUGGCAUUGGUGAUGCAGAAUUAUGCACUGACGUGACCCUGGGUGACAGGAAAGCCUUUCGAGAGGCCCACGGUGGCCUCGCCAGCCCUGCAGUGUUGAUGUGCCGUAUUGCCCCACGGCUCUGCAGACCUUGGCCUUUGCCGCAGUCAGCUUCCUUUUUUCUGUUUGCACUGUUUGUAUGAUGUUAGCUAAUUCCACUGUGUAUAUAAAUUGUAUUUUUUUUAAUUUGUAAAAUGCUAUUUUUAUUUGAACCUUUGGAACUUGGAAGUUCUCAUUGUAACCCUAACAUGUCAGAAUAAAAUGUCUUCUGUCUCCUUUA